UUAUAAUUUAAUAAAGUUUUAAUAAUUUUAAGCAAAAAUCAAAUUUUUCAUUCCUUCUCCAGUUAUUUUUGGUGGGUUUUUCACCAUUGGUAAUUUUUUUAGUUAAAAAACUUAAUCUUACUGAUAGCUGAUAUUUCUUCUCCCAUUGAAAAAGAUAGCUUAUAUUAUAUUUUCCAAAAUUGAUCUACAAAAAUUAGAAUUAAGUUUGUAAUACUGCUAAAUGUAUACUUAUAAUUUAUGACAUUCUGAAAUAUAGAAAUUAUAUAAAGUAUUAAUUUUUCCCAAAUAAUAAGAAAACUAUUUUAAUCUUUAUUAUUUAAGGGCCAAUUAAAAGAGAAAAAAGGAAGGUGGAAAUUAUUUCGUCGCUGGAGAACUAGAUAUUUUACUUUAUCAGGUGCACAUCUUUCCUAUAGAGGUUCGAAAGGUGAUAAGGAAGUGUCUCCUAUCGAAGUUAGUCAAAUUCGUAGCGUGAGGGCAAUAAGUAGCCGUCGCAACAUACCAAAAGCUUUUGAAAUAUUUACAGAUGACAGGACUUUUGUUCUUAAAGCAAAAGAUAGCAAAAAUACAGAACAGUGGGUUCAAUGUAUAUCCAUUGCUAUGGCUCAUUCUCAUGCUAAAGAUACUACCCAUUAAAUGUAUACGUGUAAAUGUAAAGAUUAAUAUUUUUAAUCUGAAUGGCUCAAAAAAAAAAAAAAAUGCAAUUGUAUAGUUUCUUUUUACAAGAAUUGUAAAAUUUUAUAAAUUGAUUC